UACGGGGGGGGCAAGCGUUGUCCGGAAUUAUUGGGCGUAAAGGGCUCGUAGGCGGUCUGUCGCGUCGGGAGUGAAAACUCAGGGCUUAACCCUGAGCCUGCUUCCGAUACGGGCAGACUAGAGGUAUGCAGGGGAGAACGGAAUUCCUGGUGUAGCGGUGAAAUGCGCAGAUAUCAGGAGGAACACCGGUGGCGAAGGCGGUUCUCUGGGCAUUACCUGACGCUGAGGAGCGAAAGUGUGGGGAGCGAACAGG
rnacentral:rRNA from 1 species